rnacentral:rRNA from 1 species
GACGAACGCUGGCGGUGUGCUUAACACAUGCAAGUCGAACGGAAAGGCCUCUUUCGGGGGGUACUCGAGUGGCGAACGGGUGAGUAACACGUGAGUAACCUGCCCUUGACUUUGGGAUAACUUCAGGAAACUGGGGCUAAUACAGGAUAGGAGCUCCUGCUGCAUGGUGGGGGUUGGAAAGUUUCGGCGGUUGGGGGUGGACUCGCGGCUUAUCUGCUUGUUGGUGGGGUAUUGGCUUACCAAGGCUUUGACGGGUAGCCGGCCUGAGAGGGUGACCGGCCACAUUGGGACUGAGAUACGGCCCAGACUCCUACGGGAGGCAGGAGUGGGGAAUAUUGCACAAUGGGUGGAAGCCUGAUGCAGCAACGCCGUGUGCGGGAUGACGGCCUUCGGGUUGUAAACCGCUUUCGCUCAUGACGAAGCUUUGUGUGACGGUAGUGGGUAAAGAAGCACCGGCUAACUACGUG